CUCCUUUCUUUCUUUCUUUCUCUCCCUCCCCCCUCUCUCCCGAUGUAGAUCCCCUCAUCACCGCCACCCACCCACCUCUGCCGCCGCCCACCUCCGCCGCUGCCCUCACUCUCCCCUCGUCUCCCUCGUCCUCAACCAACCUCGCGGCCCGCGGGGCUCUCGCAUCGCCGCCACUCCACGCCCGUGCACGACAGAAAGAAGCCCGAGGUCCUCUUCCGAUGCUCCUCUGCCUCCCUCGCCCGCGGGGCUCUCUGCUCCACAUCGACUGGCUGGCGCAGACAUAAGAGAAGCCCUCAUUGGUCGCAGGUCCUCGACUCCACCGUCACAGCGCGGAACCCUCAUCGUUCGGAUCCAGCCGCCAUCACAGCCAUGCCGUUCACCCCCACGACCCUACUCCUGCAAGAGCACCCUCGCCCUCUGGCCACGGUCUCCGCCGUCGGCGUCGCCGUCGUCUGGGGCUCUGUCAAGCCCAAGCAGGCGAGGCGGCCGCAGCGGAUUCGCAGCCGUCCCCACGACCUUGAUCUGGUGGACACGACCUCUCUCCCCUCGCCGUUCCCGCGACCAGCAGCCGGUCGGUGCUCCCGUCAGCGACAACUUCUCUUCUCCGACAUGGUCACUUCAGUGCCUGGCAUUGGCUCCUCCGACAUGAGGAGAGAUGCCCGGCUGCUCCUCCGACGCAAUGGAGAGAGAUGGGUCGCCGGAGUCAGCAGGGCCACCAACAGCCGCGACUUGGGCCCUCUUGCCGAACCUGUUAAAUUCUGCUAACAAAGUUGGCAGUUCAAUUUGAUAAUUUUCUGCAUGUCAAUUAAGUUACUGCUACUGCAUUAUGUUUAAAAGGUUGCAUACAGACUUGAGUAAGAUUCCAGCAGUGAGCUAUAAAAACUGCUCUAGUAAGCUAGAUGUUUGGUGAAAUUUUUAACUUAUCCUAGGGUGCAGUCAACUUGCUGAACAACUGACAAGUAUAUUCAUUGUUCUUUCUCUGUACCUCUAUUCUGAUACAUCUGACUUGUAUGACCUAUUUCUGAAAAUUGUAACUUAGCCUAAGGUGCAGUCAACUUGCUGAGCUCUUCCAAUGCUUCAGAUUAUAGCUUGCAUUUCAAGUGUCUGCCAAAUGCUAGCUGUUUGGUUCGAAGUCAUGUUCAAACCGAAAUGUAUAUGGUAAUAAAGCAUAUGGACGAGUUCAGGGCAUAUGCUAAUGCUAACAGUAGGUUUUGCCCAGUGUCCAGUUAUUGUUUUAGUUGGCCUGCUGGAGUACUAGAAGAGUAGUGCUAUCUUGCUGCUGGUGACACUCCAUGGAAUACUCCCUUCUACUACUACACCUAGUUACUUGUGUGUAUCCUAUUACUUACUAAUUAGUAGACAUGUGUAGUAGUACUAUACUAUAUUCUUCUUCCUCAACUACUACAAUAGAACUUGUAGUAGUGGUGUCUUACUGCCAGUGAUAGUUUAUCUUCUCAGCAUUGUUGUUCUUAUUUGAUUUUUUUCUGAAUUGUAUGUUAAUUUGGAUCCAUUCGACCUUUUCACAAUUGCAGGCUGAAAUGUGCAUGUUUUAUCUUCUUAGCAUUGUUGUUCUUAUUUACUUGAAGUUUUUACUAUGCAAGGUUCAAUCAUGCCAUCUUUGCUUGUACUGCAUGUUAAUGUCAUCAAAAUGCUCACACCAAGUUUGUGAACUGUGGCCAGGUACCAGAGGCUGACCAGUUACUCCAUUGGCAUCUCUAGCUCCCACAUGUCGCCCCUGGGCUGUAGCGCCCUCUCGUGGGCGAUCGACAUCCUCCCAGUGGCGCCGCUCCUCACCCAGGUUGCGCACCACCUCAACUAUGGCCAGUACCAGUCGCUCAUCCUCAUCGUCGUGAUGUCGUUCGACUCCUUCUUCUGCCAGCUCACUGGCUUCUUCAAGACGGUUCUUGCACAUCAGAAGUUAUCCAGGCGCUUCCUUUUCUUAAAAAGGCAUAUGGCAGUGCUAUGCAGAAGGUUCUCCAUGUUGGCCCAGAUAGUUGUACAGUAGUUUCUAACUUGUUGAAAGAAGGGAAGGAAGCAUGAGGGGUAUAGCCUUAUGAUUUGGAGGAUGCUGCUCGUGCUGUGACUAUUCUGAUCAUGUAUUUCAACAGCGGCUUAGGUGUGUUCCAAACUCUCAGCUUCGAAGCUCAAGUGUGAAGUGUGAAGCAAGUGUGGUGCUGUGAACUGUGAAGCCAAGUGUGAAGACGUGUAUCUGUGUUGUAAAGAUUGUAAUAAAUUUAUUUAGUGGUAUAUUUGAUGAAUUUUAUGUGUUUGUUCUAUUUGAAAUAUUGGUUAACUAUGUGAUUUGAAAACUUGUGAAAUGGAAACUUGACUAGUGGGGCCACUUAUGAUAAUAA